UCCGAGUUGACCCCGGCAGUCUCCUGCGAGUCCCCGCCAUUACGCGCUGGCAACACAGGACAAGGGUUGCGCUCGUUGCGGGACUUAACCCAACAUCUCACGACACGAGCUGACGACAGCCAUGCACCACCUGUCACCCACCCCCGAAAGGCACCCCGUCUCCGAGGCUGUAAGGGCGAUGUCAAACCUUGGUAAGGUUCUUCGCGUUGCGUCGAAUUAAGCAACAUGCUCCGCCGCUUGUGUGGGCCCCCGUCAAUUCCUUUGAGUUUUAGCCUUGCGGCCGUAGUCCCCAGGCGGGGUGCUUAACGCGUUAGCUCCGGCACGGAAGUCGUGAACUGACCCCCACACCUAGCACCCAUCGUUUACGGCAUGGACUAC
rnacentral:misc_RNA from 1 species